ACUUUCGUGGUGUAAUGGUUAGCAUGCUCGACGCGUAACCGAGAGGUCCGUGGUUCAACUCCCGGCAGAGGCG
rnacentral:tRNA from 1 species